rnacentral:rRNA from 1 species
AACGUAGGAGGCAAGCGUUAUCCGGAGUUACUGGGCGUAAAGAGCGUGUAGGCGGCAGGGUAAGUGGCUUGUGAAAGCGCCCGGCUAAACUGGGCGAGGACAGGUCAGACUGCACCGCUAGAGGACGCUAGAGGGGUGCGGAAUUCCGGGCGUCGCGGUGAAAUGUGUAGAGAUCCGGAGGAACACCAGUGGUGCAGACGGCGCCCUGGGUCGUACCUGACGCUGAGACGCGAAAGCGUGGGGAGCCAACGGG